rnacentral:rRNA from 1 species
UACGUAGGAUCCGAGCGUUGUCCGGAUUUACUGGGUGUAAAGGGUGCGCAGGCGGACUGGUAAGUCAGAGGUGAAAUCUCGUCGCUUAACGACGAAACUGCCUUUGAUACUAUCAGUCUUGAGUCCGGUAGAGAUCUGUGGAAUUCCGAGUGUAGCAGUGAAAUGCGUAGAUAUUCGGAAGAACACCAGUGGCGAAGGCAGCAGAUUGGGCCGGUACUGACGCUCAGGCACGAAAGCAUGGGGAUCAAACAGG